AGCGAACGCUGGCGGCAGGCCUAACACAUGCAAGUCGAGCGCCCAGCAAUGGGAGCGGCAGACGGGAUAGUAACACGUGGGAACGUACCUUUCAGUUCGGAACAACCCAGGGAAACUUGGGCUAAUACCGAAUACGUCCGUAAGGAGAAAGAUUUAUCGCUGAAAGAUCGGCCCGCGUCUGAUUAGCUAGUUGGUGAGGUAAUGGCUCACCAAGGCGACGAUCAGUAGCNGGUCUGAGAGGAUGAUCAGCAUCACUGGGACUGAGACACGGCCCAGACUCCUACGGGAGGCAGCAGUGGGGAAUAUUGGACAAUGGGCGCAAGCCUGAUCCAGCCAUGCCGCGUGGAUGAUGAAGGCCUUAGGGUUGUAAAGUCCUUUCGGCGGGGAAGAUAAAUGACGGUACCCGCAGAAGAAGCCCCGGCUAACUUCGUGCCAGCCGCCGCGGUAAU
rnacentral:rRNA from 1 species